rnacentral:lncRNA from 1 species
GCGGCUUGUUUUCCCGGCUAGGCUCUGGAGCGGCGGGCGCGGCGCGAUGCGCGGGUACCCGGGAGCGAACGGCUGCAAGCCCCGAUGAAGCUCGAGCAGCCCCAGCCUGAUGGAGGCGCCUCCGUGGGAGCCGGUGCGCAAUGACUCCCUGCCUCCCACGCUGAGCCCCGCGGUGCCGCCCUACGUGAAGCUCGGCCUCACCGCGGUCUACAACCGUCUUCUACGCGCUCCUCUUCGUGUUCAUCUAUGCGCAGCUCUGGCUGGUGCUGCGCUACCGUCACAAGCGGCUCAGCUACCAGAGCGUCUUCCUCUUCCUUUGCCUCUUCUGGGCCUCGCUGCGUACCGUGCUCUUCUCCUUUUACUUCCGAGACUUCGUGGCAGCCAACUCGUUCAGCCCCUUCGUCUUCUGGCUGCUCUACUGCUUCCCCGUGUGUCUACAGUUCUUCACCCUCACGCUCAUGAACUUGUACUUCACGCAGGUGAUUUUCAAGGCCAAGUCAAAAUAUUCUCCAGAGCUACUCAAAUACCGGUUACCCCUCUACCUGGCCUCACUUUUCAUCAGCCUCGUUUUCCUGUUGGUGAAUCUGACCUGUGCUGUGCUGGUGAAGACGGGAGACUGGGACAGGAAGGUUAUCGUCUCUGUGAGAGUGGCCAUCAAUGACACACUCUUUGUGCUGUGUGCUAUCUCUCUCUCCAUCUGCCUCUACAAAAUCUCCAAGAUGUCCCUGGCGAACAUCUACUUGGAGUCAAAGGGCUCAUCAGUGUGUCAGAUCAAGAACGUCCAUUCCUUUGAUUAUGACUGGUACAAUGUAUCCGACCAGGCAGAUCUGAAGAGCCAGCUGGGUGAUGCCGGCUACGUAGUGUUUGGCGUGGUGCUUUUCGUGUGGGAGCUCCUACCCACCACCUUGGUGGUUUAUUUCUUUCGAGUCAGAAAUCCCACGAAGGAUCUUACCAAUCCUGGGAUGGUCCCCAGCCAUGGAUUCAGUCCCAGAUCUUACUUCUUUGACAACCCCCGAAGAUAUGACAGUGAUGAUGACCUUGCCUGGAACAUUGCCCCUCAGGGACUUCAGGGAAGUUUUGCUCCAGACUACUGUGAUUGGGGACAACAAAAUAACAGCUUCCUGGCACAAGCAGGAACUUUGCAUCAAGACUCCACUUUGGAUCCAGACAAAGCAAGCCAAGGGUAGCAGCAGCUGACACAGCCCUAUGGAAGAGUUCUCUGUUGACAGCCUUCAGCCAGACAGACCGGAUGACAGCUGAGUUGCUAAGGCAGUUUUCCUUAGGAAACAGAACUCUAGUUUUUGCUAUAGCUUUCUCAUGGCUCCACAGGGCUAAGCAAUAAUUUAGAGCAAUAAACCCUUUAGUACUAGCAGAGAAUCUGGCUAUUUCAGUGGGUAUAAUUUAAACUUAUAAAAGAGAUUCUGUACUUUUAUAAAGAUGUAUUUUAUAUAACUUAAAUACUAAUGCUAAAGUAUACUAGGUUUUUCCUUGAUUGUUAAUUUGUUAAUUGCAACGUAUGUUGUAGUUUGCACAGACUUUCACGCAGAAUUCACUUUAAAACGUAUAGAAUGCGUGGUCUAAUAGUUUAAAGCUUUGGGAAAACUUUCCACAAAUCUUACCUCUGAAGGUUCCUCUUGUGAGUGCCACGUGGUGGGCUCCUUUCACCGCCACUCAAGCAUUCCAAGUUAAGGGGAAGCAGAGUACCACGGUCUGUACGUAACAGGCUCAGCAGCAGCAAUUUCUCGUAAACUCUGUCCUAAGCCUGGUCCUUCUUCAUCUGAAAGCACUACUACAAGCACUCCAGUAACAAGUGGAUACUGUUAAGAUGUAGUUGCUGACACUAUUAAACCUCCUCUGCUGUGUGUGUA